rnacentral:misc_RNA from 1 species
UUCAAUUUAAUGUUUAUACAGGAUUACAUGAAAUGAAUAUGACAUAAAAAAAAUCAAUCAACCCUCCUAAUGCUGUUAUCACAGUUUUAUCAUUAUCACUGCACUAUACCCACCUAUGAAAGGUACAUGUGGUUAUUGUUGUAUAUAUCUGUCAGUCUCCUCUGAUAUCAAUUCCAUGCAGAAGCAGAUACCAAAUUCCUAUUCUUCCAGCCCAACAACAUAACCCCAUCCUUCUCCACCAGUGUGUAAUUUUCUGAGUAACACCUCAGCAACCUACUUAUCACAGAGUUGACAUAGGAGCUCAAAGGAUAAUGCCGGAAGCCAGCCAUCGUAAGCCUAGACUUCCACUUGCCAAAGAGCUCAUGACGC